rnacentral:rRNA from 1 species
CCCGCUGAACUUAAGCAUAUCAAUAAGCGGAGGAAAAGAAACCAACAGGGAUUGCCUUAGUAACGGCGAGUGAAGCGGCAAAAGCUCAAAUUUGAAAUCUGGCUUCCUAUCUCGGGGCCCGAGUUGUAAUUUGGAGAGGAUGCUUUGGGUGUGGUCGCGGUCUAAGUCCCCUGGAACGGGGCAUCAUAGAGGGUGAGAAUCCCGUCUGGGACCGCUGGCCCCGCCCGUGUAAAGCUCCUUCGACGAGUCGAGUUGUUUGGGAAUGCAGCUCUAAAUGGGUGGUAAAUUUCAUCUAAAGCUAAAUAUUGGCCGGAGACCGAUAGCGCACAAGUAGAGUGAUCGAAAGAUGAAAAGCACUUUGAAAAGAGAGUUAAACAGCAUGUGAAAUUGUUGAAAGGGAAGCGCUUGCGACCAGACUCGCCCGCGGAGCUUCAGCCGCCAUGCUUUGGCGGUGCACUCCUUCGCGGUCGGGCCAGCGUCGGUUCUGACGGUUGGUUAAAGGCUCUCGGAAUGUGUCGUCUCUCGGGGCGUCUUAUAGCCGAGGGUGCAAUGCGGCCUGUCGGGACCGAGGAACGCGCUUCGGCACGGACGCUGGCGUAAUGGUCGUAAGCGACCCGUCUUGAAACACGG